AAAAUGAGUAUUUAUCAAAUACUCAAUGAACACAUAGUUUCAUUUUAUCCAUAGAAGAAAACAGUAAUUUUUAAUUUAUACGUUUCUCUUGUAUAAUGUAUCUUGCUUGAUUUGGUUUGUUUGCACAAAAUGUAUUUUGUGUUGUGCAGAUGGGGUGUAGCCUUCUCAACAAACAAAUCAAUUCUGAUUACAAAGUUUUUCAUCUGUUUGAAAACUUAAUUGAACUUCGGAUAUCUUGGUUUAAUCGAGACACUUAUGACUGGAGUGAGAUACUGAAAAUGCUCAUCAAUAGUCCCAAACUUGAAGCUCUUUACAUUGAAAAGCCAUCGGAGUAAUUUCCAAACACCUAAAACUAACUCACCUCCUCGGUUUCUUGAUAGCUCUCAACACUGCUGUAUGGGUAACCUUUAUCAUCAAGUACACACUCUUUAAUUUCAUCAACUAUGAUGAACUUAUAUUUAUAUGUUAAUUCAAUCUGUAAUUUUUUUUGUACAGCAAGAUAUUUGUGUGUGUUUUUUUUAAAUCAAGCAAGAUGUUUGUUGUUUUAUAAAUUAUGAUGAAUUUGUUGUUUUUGGAAUUUGUCUAGGCACCACCAGUUUGGUAAUUUGAAAAGAAAGAAGUUUUCAGUUUUAUGCCAACUUGAAUUUUUUAUAUAUAUCCUUGAUUUCAAUCUUUCUAAUUUGUUUGUCUUUGCACCCAUGAGCCUCAAGAUGAUAAAAAAAAAAAAAAGGCAUAAAGUAGAGAGAG